GGAAACAAGAAAAAAAAAAAAAGAAGGGAAGAAGGAAGAACGAAACGGGCUCGUCUUUUUGUUCUUUUU
rnacentral:ribozyme from 14 species